GGGGCUGAUUCUGGAUUCGACGGGAUUUGCGAAACCCAAGGUGCAUGCCGAGGGGCGGUUGGCCUCGUAAAAAGCCGCAAAAAAUAGUCGCAAACGACGAAAACUACGCUUUAGCAGCUUAAUAACCUGCUUAGAGCCCUCUCUCCCUAGCCUCCGCUCUUAGGACGGGGAUCAAGAGAGGUCAAACCCAAAAGAGAUCGCGUGGAAGCCCUGCCUGGGGUUGAAGCGUUAAAACUUAAUCAGGCUAGUUUGUUAGUGGCGUGUCCGUCCGCAGCUGGCAAGCGAAUGUAAAGACUGACUAAGCAUGUAGUACCGAGGACGUAGGAAUUUCGGACGCGG
rnacentral:tmRNA from 1 species